rnacentral:rRNA from 1 species
GAUGAACGCUGGCGGCGUACCUAACGCAUGCAAGUCGAACGGGGAUUUUUGUAGCAAUACGGAAAUUCGAGUGGCAAACGGGUGAGUAACACGUAGGGAUCUACCUUGAAGUGGGGAACAACGGACCGAAAGGUUCGCUAAUACCGCAUGUGCUCGUGAGAGCAAAGGUAUUUUCGCAAGAGAAUUCGCUUUGAGAGGAGCCUGCGUUCGAUCAGGUAGUUGGUGAGGUAACGGCUCACCAAGCCGAUGACCGAUAGCUGUUCUGAGAGGAAGAUCAGCCACACUGGGACUGUGACACGGCCCAGACUCCUACGGGAGGCAG